rnacentral:tRNA from 1 species
AAAAUUUUAAGUUAAGUCAAACUAAUAAUUUUCAAAAUUAUAAUCAAACCCAUUAGUUUAAAUUUUA